UAAGCUUUUUAUGCAGAGGAAAGCACAGAGGCCAAAGUCUGGGUGUGUGAGAAUGCUGCUUUGCUUGGGCAGCUUUGCAUAGUUUGGUUUGGCUAUGGUACCGCUUUCUGCAGGGGAGUGGUGAGUGACUAGGCGUGGCUUCUGAAAUCUUCAGUAUCUCCCUCUGUGAAUUGAAAGGCUGGAAUGAGGUGGCCCUUGGGGAUACUUAUGGUAUUAAACAUUCCCCGACUCUUUCAUCAUGGGAUGAGUUAGACUUGAUGUGACUGACAGGCCCUCAAAGCAUCUGACUGCAAAUGAAUCAAGGGAUAUUGUCACUGCUCAGCUCUGCUUAUGGUGAUGCCCGGGAUUGAACCUGGGACUUUGGAGCCUCAGGCAUAAGAGUCUUUUUGCAUAACCAUUAUACUAUCUCCCCCUCAUGUCACUGAAAAAUAUGCUAAACAGAACUGGGCCCUUACAGACCUUUCUUCAGCCAAGGUAGCCAGACAAAGAUGCCCCAACAUUUCUUGGAGGCAUGGGAAGGAAAAAGAAUACUUUGAAAGAUGAUAUUCAGCAUUAUAAUCCAGUAUCAUGAAAAUGAAAGAUCUGUGAAUCAGACAGAAAGAGAAAGACAGCAAAGCACUGAAACUUCCCUCAGUGAUGUAGAGGCUGGGCCUGAAGCAUGUGUCCAUGAUGAAGCAAGAUCAUGAUCCAUCCCUCAAUUCACUUUAAAUGCAAACAACAGACAGAAAAAUAAAGCUUGUCUGGUAAGGCACAAAAAGAUAUACUCAACAGUAGAGACUAGACAGCUGGAUAAUAAUGAAGAUGGGGGUGUUCUUUUCAACCACCAGGUUCUAGAUGCUAGCAUGAUGCCGA